rnacentral:rRNA from 1 species
GAUGAACGCUGGCGGCGUGCUUAACACAUGCAAGUCGAACGAGAAGUGAAGACGGAAACCUUCGGGCGGAAGGCUUUAUUUCGAGUGGCGGACGGGUGAGUAACGCGUGGGUAACCUGCCUCAUACAGGGGGAUAACAGUUGGAAACGACUGUUAAUACCGCAUAAGACCACAGCACCGCAUGGUGCGGGGGUAAAAACUCCGGUGGUAUGAGAUGGACCCGCGUUCGAUUAGCCAGUUGGCGGGGUAACGGCCCACCAAAGCGACGAUCGAUAGCCGAUCUGAGAGGAUGACCGGCCACAUUGGGACUGAGACACGGCCCAAACUCCUGCGGGAGGCAGCAGUGGGGAAUAUUGCACAAUGGGGGAAACCCUGAUGCAGCGACGCCGCGUGAGUGAAGAAGUAUUUCGGUAUGUAAAGCUCUAGCAGCAGGGAAGAAAAUGACGGUACCGGAGUAAGAAGCCCCGGCUAACUACGU